rnacentral:rRNA from 1 species
UUUAGUCAGGCAACGAGCGAGACCCACGCCCACAGUUGCCAGCGUACUCUCUGGAGUGACGGGUACACUGUGGGGACCGCCGCUGCUAAAGCGGAGGAAGGAACGGGCAACGGUAGGUCAGUAUGCCCCGAAUAUCCCGGGCUACACGCGAGCUACAAUGGUUGGUACAAUGGGUAUCUACCCCGAAAGGGGAUGGAAAUCUCCUAAAGCCAAUCUUAGUUCGGAUCGAGGGCUGCAACUCGCCCUCGUGAAGCUGGAAUCCGUAGUAAUCGCGUUUCAACAGAACGCGGUGAAUACGUCCCUGCUCCUUGCACA